UCACUCCCGGGGGUAGAGCACUGUUACGGCUAGGGGGCCGUCCCGGCUUACCAACCCGUGGCAAACUCCGAAUACCGGGAAGUGCAAUGACGGGAGACACACGGCGGGUGCGAACAUCCGUCGUGAAGAGGGAAACAACCCAGACCGCCAGCUAAGGUCCCCAAAUUGUGGCUCAGUGGGAAACGAAGUGGGAAGGCCCAGACAGCCAGGAGGUUGGCUUAGAAGCAGCCAUCCUUUAAAGAAAGCGUAAUAGCUCACUGGUCGAGUCGGCCCGCGCGGAAGAUUUACCGGGGCUUAAGCCACAUACCGAAGCUGCGGAUGCCGCAAGGCAUGGUAGGGGAGCGUUCCGUACGCCCGUGAAGGGGCGCUGUAAGGCGUCCUGGAGGUAUCGGAAGCGCGAAUGCUGACAUGAGUAACGAUCAUGCGGGUGAAAACCCCGCACGCCGCAAGCCCCAGGGUUCCUGCGCAACGGCAAUCGACGCAGGGUGAGUCGGCCCCUAAGGCGAGGCCGAAAGGCGUAGUCGAUGGGAAACCGGUCAACAAUCCGGUACUGACGACAGCUGCGAAGGGGGGACGGAGAAGGCUACACCAGCCGGGGAUUGGUAGUCCCGGUUUAACGGCGUAGGGAGAGGCUCCAGGCAAAUCCAGAGCCUCAAUCCUGAGACCGGACGACGAGGUCCUCGGACCGAAGUGGACGAUGCCCCGCUCCCAAGAAAAGCCCCUAAGCCUCAGGCUGUCGCCACCCGUACCCAAACCGACACGGUGGGCGAGGAGAGUAUCCUCAGGCGCUGGAGAGAACUCGGGUGAAGGAACUCGGCAAACUAGCACCGUAACUUCGGGAGAAGGUGCACCCGCCGUAGGUGAACGCCCUCGCGGCGGAAGCCCAAGCGGGUCGCAGUGACCAGGUGGCUGCGACUGUUUACUAAAAACACAGCACUCUGCCAGCACGAAAGUGGACGUAUAGGGUGUGACGCCUGCCCGGUGCCGGAAGGUUAAGUGAUGGGGUUAGCGCAAGCAAAGCUCUGGAUCGAAGCCCCGGUAAAACGGCGGCCGUAACGAUAACGGUCCUAAGGUAGCGAAAUUCCUUGUCGGGUAAGUUCCGACCUGCACGAAUGGCGUAACGAUAGCCACACUGUCUCCACCCGGGACUCCGUGAAAUUGAAUUCGCUGUGAAGAUGCAGCGUACCCGCGGCAAGACGGAAAGACCCCGUGAACCUUCACUAUAGCUUUGCACUGACUGUUGAGCCUUCUUGUGUAGGAUAGGUGGGAGGCCCUGAAGCCGGGACGCCAGUUCCGGUGGAGCCACCCUUGAAAUACCACCCUGGAAUGCUUGAGAGUCUAACCUCGGACCCG
rnacentral:rRNA from 1 species